rnacentral:rRNA from 1 species
GCGCCCAAAUAAACGACGCACCCUAGAUACCAUGAAAGGUGUUGCUUGCAAAAGACAGCAGGACGGUGGACAUGGAAGUCGUCAUCCGCUAAGUAGUGUGUAACAACUCACUUGCCGAAGCAAUAAGCCCUUAAAAUGGAUGGCGCUCAAGUCGUUUGC